UAGUUAUUUUCUAAAAACAAACUAAUCGUCAUCGCAAAGGGAUUGAAUACGCAUAUCAACAAUACAGACUUGUUUUUUCGCACUGUUUUUAUGGCUUUUUUGCCAUCGAAAUGUAUAUUAUUAUCCUUAUUAACCAGUUUAUAUGCGAGUGUGAGAAUUUAACCAUUAGACCAUGGUUGAACUAAAAAAAUGAACCAGUCCCCGGCCUUCGGAUCUAGUAGGUAUAUAACGCACGUUAAAGAAACCAAAACAUAGUUCAACUACUUAGAACGUAAUCAGACACAUCAUGAAAUUCUUUGCGCUGUUCACUUUAUUCGUGUGCGUGGUACUCGCAUUGGUUGGUGCGAGCCCCGUAGCAGAGGACCCACAGCCAAUCAGAGAAGCCCGCAGCCCUCAUAAAAGUCACAAACACCACAAACAACACCGUAACUACGGCUACGGAUACGGCCAUGGACGCUGAAGUUAUGCUAAAAACAACUUUAUCACCUUUGUAUUAAUCAUGCCAUUCGUUUAGCUUUACCUUUUGGUCUAAAUAUAUUUUUUU